CAGUUUUCAAACAUUGUGUAAAUUACGUAUUUUUACAUAUCUAUUCUAUAUGUCACUGUUUUCUUAUAUCAGUCCAAAUGUAAUGUUAAAAAAUAAAAUAAAGGUAACAGAAAGAACAAAAUGAGAGUUUUACAUGCCUAUGUGGAAACCUUGCAGGUACAUUCUGGAUGGUCUUGUGUUCUGUACUGGGUCCAUUCUGCAGUGGGUCUCAUUUCAUUAAAAAGGUGACAGCAUUGACAUCAGCUUGAUGUACAGACUUGUAACCAUGCUGAACAUUUUAUAUUCCUUUGCUCUCCUUGGUCUCUUCCUGUUUCUUCUGUAUCAAAGCUAUAGGAAGAAAAUUGUAAAGAAGAGAUGGAGACCCAAUGGAGGAAAUAAAUGCUUCCUUAAGAAAGAAACAAAGAAAUACACAAACCUGUAAUAAAAAGGAAGGAUUCAUGUUGGUUGAAGUAAUGCUUGGACUCCAGCAAGCAAUGAAAACUCAUUACUAAAGAGUCAGGAAAAAAUGGAUCAGUAUCAUGGUAACAGAAAUUUGCAUUCAAUUAUUCUUUUGUUUAACUCUGAGCUCCUCCUGUCCCUUGACGAUGAUACUUUUGGACAAAGUAACAGACUCUUCCAUCUUCCUGCAGUAGAUGUGUGCAGUAUGUAGAGCCAUCAGCCCGAUCUGAGGGCUUUGUUGGGGGCUACAGCAUCACUGACAGAUGACAGCAUUCUUAUAACCUGAUUUUGUCCACUUGUUGGUGUCCUGAUGCACAGUGUAACAAUAAGAAUUUCCGCUAGGAGAUAUUGCCACUGGGAAAUGAGUGGUUGUACUAGCUAAUGACAGGAUUGCAGAACGGCUAUCUCCUAUCACAGAGGAAUGACUGUGAAAAUUCUAUGGUGGUUCUAUGAUAUAUCAGGAGAGGUGCUCUCAGGAGCUGAACUGACACAGUGAAACCUCUCUGUCAUUUUAAAGGCCCUAGUGAGAUUUCAUCUCUAAUAUCAUGUUCCAUUUUGGUCCACAUAUUAAGGAAAAAUGAAUUGAAAUUGUAACAGCUGCAGAGAAGGGUUGUAGGGUCUUUCACAGGAAUGAAGAGCAUAUCUCUCAGAAAAAGACUUUGAGAGAUUAAUCCAGCAAAAUGAAACCUAAGGGAAGAUAUUGUUACUGUAUAUGAGUGGGGGCAAGCAUGUGAGAGUGAACUGUUUUUUAACAUAAAGGAUCAGCCUCGCAUGGGAACAAGUGUCUAUAAGCUGGCUGUGAGGAAGCUGAAGCUGGAAUGAGAAGACAGGUUCUAACUCUCAGAGAGCAGUUCUGGGUCAACCAGUCACAGGUACUGAGGGCAAUUCACCCCCAAAUGCUUUAAAGAUAGAACUUGGAGAGUAUAUGAAAGCGAUUUCAUGUUUGAUUUGUCUGCAGGGAAGUGACCAAAGAGGUCUCUGGC
rnacentral:lncRNA from 1 species